UACGUAGGGGGCAAGCGUUGUCCGGAAUUAUUGGGCGUAAAGAGCGCGUAGGCGGUCCGAUAAGUCGGCUGUGAAAGUCAGGGGCUCAACCCUUGGAAGCCGGCCGAUACUGUCGGACUAGAGUCCGGAAGAGGCGAGUGGAAUUCCUGGUGUAGCGGUGAAAUGCGCAGAUAUCAGGAGGAACACCGGUGGCGAAGGCGGGACUCUGGGCCGAUACUGACGCUGAUGGACGAAAGCGUGGGUAGCGAACAGGA
rnacentral:rRNA from 1 species